GCCUGGCUGGCUCAGAAGAGCGUGCGACUCUUGAUCUUGGGGUUGUGGGUUCAAGUCACACGUUGGGUG
rnacentral:tRNA from 1 species